rnacentral:rRNA from 1 species
GACGAACGCUGGCGGCGUGCUUAACACAUGCAAGUCGAACGGAAAGGCCCUGCUUUUGUUGGGUGCUCGAGUGGCGAACGGGUGAGUAACAAGUGAGUAACCUGCCCUUGACUUUGGGAUAACUUCAGGAAACUGGGGCUAAUACCCGAUAGUUGCUCCUGCUGCAUGGUGGGGGUUGGAAAGUUUCGGCGGUUGGGGAUGGAAUCGCGGCUUAUCAGCUUGCUGGUGGGGUAGUGGCUUACCAAGGCUUUGACGGGUAGCCGGCCUGAGAGGGUGACCGGCCACACUGGGACUGAGAUAAGGCCCAGACUCCUACGGGAGGCAGCAGUGGGGAAGAGUGCACAAUGGGCGGAAGCCUGAUGCAGCAACGCCGCGUGCGGGAUGACGGCCUGCGGGUUGUAAACCGAUUUCGCCUGUGACGAAGCGUGAGUGACGGUAAUGGGUAAAGAAGCACCGGCUAACUACGUG